AACUUUCCGACCUGAUUUGAUUGGAAGAAUGAAUUAGCUGAUCAGAUGCCCAUAUCAACAAUUUUAGUUGUGUUCUACUUUUGGACAAGUCUUUUCAUGUUUCCACUUAUAAAAGUGUAGUCAGUGUCAUCCCUUCGAGAAGAAUGAAGCGGAUUAAAUUGGGAGGGGAGACCUUUCCUUUAUUACAAUAAUGUAAAAGCUAGCACGAC
rnacentral:lncRNA from 1 species